UUAAGUUCAGCGGGUAGUCCUGACUGAUUUGAGGUCUAAAGCUUAAAGAUUUAGAUGUCGCAUUAGAAGCACCUCUAGUUAGAGAAUGUGACGUCCUCAGCGAAAUAUAUUAUUACGCCGAGUCAAACCGUCUAUUUCUCAGAAAUGGGUAGCUCGUGUAUUUCAGCAGAGUCGACAAUUGCGCCGGCAGCCGCCACAAU
rnacentral:misc_RNA from 1 species